rnacentral:rRNA from 1 species
AUUGAACGCUGGCGGCAGGCCUAACACACGCAAGUCGAGCGGAUGAAGGGAGCUUGCUCCUGGAUUCAGCGGCGGACGGGUGAGUAAUGCCUAGGAAUCUGCCUGGUAGUGGGGGAUAACGUCCGGAAACGGGCGCUAAUACCGCAUACGUCCUGAGGGAGAAAGUGGGGGAUAUUCGGACCUCACGCUAUCAGAUGAGCCUAGGUCGGAUUAGCUAGUUGGUGGGGUAAAGGCCUACCAAGGCGACGAUCCGUAACUGGUCUGAGAGGAUGAUCAGUCACACUGGAACUGAGACACGGUCCAGACUCCUACGGGAGGCAGCAGUGGGGAAUAUUGGACAAUGGGCGAAAGCCUGAUCCAGCCAUGCCGCGUGUGUGAAGAAGGUCUUCGGAUUGUAAAGCACUUUAAGUUGGGAGGAAGGGCAGUAAGUUAAUACCUUGCUGUUUUGACGUUACCAACAGAAUAAGCACCGGCUAACUUCGUG